AUUCAAUCACAACAAAACCCCCUCCCCCUCUCUCUCGAGUCUCAACAACAAAACCCUCUCCCAUAGUCCCAUAUACCAGGAAAUCAAGAAAGACCCUAAUCGCGAGAACUUGAUUGGGAGUUUGCGUUCUCCUCUUUUCCUCUAUCACUGUCUGCUUUCAAUGUUUCAGUCGUUAAAUACAGCUUUCAUGGUCUAUCAAACGGUGCGUCGGGCUGGCUUGCUUGCAUCCGAAUCACCUGUAAAGUUGCAGAAUUGGAAAGAGAAUCCGGUGGUUUCAUUUUAAACCUGGCGACCAUGAGCUGAUACCUUUAGCCUGGGAAGGUUUUCUUGGAUACAAUCCUACACUUCUGGAAACACAGCAAUGGCAUCUCCAAAAAUGAAGUCGAUCGUGCUAGAUAUUCGACAUUCCCAAUAAUUGGAUUAUGGAAAAUCCAUAUGGCAAAUCUUGGUAGUCGUCAAUCGCAAUGUAAUAGUCAUGUUUUCAUCUACUAAUCCACUAACUACUUGGGUGAUAGUCUAAUUAUGUGGGAGACAAUGUAUGUUGUAUUGUAUAUACAGGCAAACAAGUUCACAGUAAGUUGGUCAAUUUUAUGUUCAAGGAGAAGAACCAACCCAAAAACAAUUCCAUUAACUACAAAUAGUCUGCCAAAAAGAAUAAUACAAAAUUAAUUGACAAGAAACAAUGGAGAAUG